GACGAACGCUGGCGGCGUGCUUAACACAUGCAAGUCGUACGGUAAGGCCCUUUCGGGGGUACACGAGUGGCGCACGGGUGCGUAACACGUGAGUAACCUGCCCACAACUUUGGGAUAACGCUAGGAAACUGGUGCUAAUACUGGAUAUGUGCUCCUUCUGCAUGGUGGGGGUUGGAAAGCUCCGGCGGUUGUGGAUGGACUGGCGGCCUAUCAGCUUGUUGGUGGGGUAGUGGCCUACCAAGGCGGCGACGGGUAGCCGGCCUGAGAGGGUGACCGGCCACAUUGGGACUGAGAUACGGCCCAGACGCCUACGGGAGGCAGCAGUGGGGAAUAUUGCACAAUGGGCGCAAGCCUGAUGCAGCAACGCCGCGUGCGGGAUGACGGCCUUCGGGUUGUAAACCGCUUUCAGCAGGGACGAAGCUUUUUGUGACGGUACCUGCAGAAGAAGCACCGGCUAACUACGU
rnacentral:rRNA from 1 species